AUACUUACCUGGCGCGGGGGAUACCGUGAUCAAGAAGGCGGUGCCUCCAGGACGAGGCCUGUACAUUGCACUCCGUAUGGGCUGGACUCCUGCGACUACCCAAAUCGGGGUGGCUCGAGCGCAUAAUUUUUGGUAGUGGGGACAAGCGUUCGCGCUGUCCCUU
rnacentral:snRNA from 1 species